GAGCGAGUCUCAGAGAAAGCCUCCCGCCUCUGCUCUUUCCCAGAUACCAUGUGUACGAUACGCACCUGCUUCAUGGUCCUUUGUCUCCUGUCUGCAGGCUCUCUUGGUCAAGAAGUGACUCAGACUCCAAGGCAUCUGAUCAAAGGGAAAGGACAGAGAGUAAAAAUGUUUUGUGUUCCAAUAAAAGGACACAACUACCUUUUCUGGUACCAACAGAUCCUGGCAAAACAGUUCAAGUUCUUGGUUUCUUUCCAGUUUAAUAAGGUCUCUGAUCAAUCAGGGAUGCCCAAGGAAAGAUUUUCAGCUGAGUGCUCUCAAAACUCAUCCUGCAGCCUGGAGAUCCAGCCUAUGGAGCUGCAGGAUUCAGCUACAUACCUGUGUGCCAGCAGUGAAAGGGGACAGGGUAACAACCAGGCACAGCAUUUUGGAGAGGGGACUCGACUCUCUGUCCUAGAGGACCUGAAGAAGGUGUCACCACCCAAGGUCACUGUGUUUGAGCCAUCAGAAGCAGAGAUCAACAGGAAAAAAAAGGCCACCCUCGUGUGCCUGGCCACAGACUUCUACCCAGACCACGUGGAGCUGAGCUGGUGGGUGAAUGGAAAGGAGGUGCAAAAUGGGGUCAGCACGGACCCUCAGCCCUCCAGUGCCGCCAGUGACUCCAAAUACUUCCUGAGCAGUCGCCUGAGGGUCUCUGCCACCUUCUGGCUCAACCCUCGCAACCACUUCCGCUGCCAAGUGCAGUUCUAUGGGCUCUCAGAGGAAGAUGAGUGGACCGAGGAGGGGCCCAAACCCAUCACCCAGAAUGUCAGUGCUGAGGUCUGGGGCCGAGCAGACUGUGGUGUCACCUCAGUGACCUAUCAGCAAGGGGUGCUGUCUGCCACCAUCCUCUAUGAGAUCCUGCUGGGGAAGGCCACUGUGUAUGCUGUGCUGGUCAGCACCCUGGUGCUGAUGGCCAUGGUGAAGAAGAAGAAUUGCUGAGGCCAGGUCUGAUCCCGUGUCUUGAGCUGUUCUCCAGCCUCACCUUGAUUCUCCUGUUCCUAAUCCAACCUAUGGACCUAAAGAGUUACUCUGUUCACCUCUCAUCACCUUCCUACUGAGAUAUUCACCCUUCUCUCUGCUUCUGGGAAGAUUGAGCUCAUAGCCCUGAAUCUGAAACAAAUUUUUACCAAUAAAAAUGGUACUUGGGGCCUG